AGACUUCAUCACGACUGCCUGAAGGUGUUCAUGUUCGAGUUCUAUUUUAAUGGAAAACUAUGGUGUUUUGAUGCAGCAAAAGAGGAUGGGUCACUUGGAAGACUUGUGAACGAUAAUAAUGUCAACCCCAAUGCCAAGAUGAAGUACCUAAACAUACAAGGGAAGCCCCAUCUGUGUUUGUUUGCAACACGAGACAUCAGUCAAGGAGAGGAGGUCACCUAUAAUUAUGGUGACUCGGAUUGGCCGUGGAGAUGCAAGCUUCAGAAAUCUGAAGGAAAGUCU